rnacentral:rRNA from 1 species
CCCUUAGAUGUUCUGGGUCGCACGCGCGCUACACUGACGAAUGCAACGAGCUUAUAACCUUGGCCGAUAGGUCUGGGUAAUCUUUGAACGCUGUUCGUGAUUGGGAUAGACCUUUGCAAUUAUGGGUCUUCAACGAGGAAUUCCUAGUAAACGCAAGUCAUCAGCUUGCAUUGAUUACGUCCCUGCCCUUUGUACACACCGCCCGUCGCACCUACCGAUUGAAUGGUCCGGUGAAAUCUCGGGACGGCGGCUUGGUCGCUUGCGUCCGACUGCUGAAACUUGAUUAAACCAUAUCAUUUAGAGGAAGGUGAAGUCGUAACA